UGAUCAUUGGAAUUGAAUCGGUGUUUCAUCAUACAAAGAUGGGCUCUUAUAAAUCUGAUCAUAAUCCAGCCCUUAAAGCUUCACUCGAUUAAGCUCUACCAUCUUCUUGUUAGUCUCCAAGGCCAAACAAACCGAGGGUAUCGGUAUCUCAACCCUCCUCCUCGUAAGGAUUCUAACCGCCGGGGGACGGAAGAAUCGGGCGAUUGACGAUGGUGGUCGUCUCCCGCCCGCCGCGUGCCUUUUGAUAGUCGAGCGACGGCGUGGCGAGCAAGGGUCACCCGCAGGUCUAUUUUGUGGAGAAUUAACUGGCCAUUAUUUGAACAGGUUUUUUUUAUUCUAAAGUGGCAAAAAGUGGUUGAAUUAUUAAUUUUCCUUUGUAAUUUAUUACUGAAGUAGUGUUAUGGAUAAUCUUUAGCCCAGAAAUUUUGAUGAUCUGAUUGAGCCCAGGAAGCAGCAUGAGUCCAGAUGUUUUUUCAUUUAUGGAAGAUUUGCUUAACUAGUUGAAUUGAGUUGUGUAUGGACUCAUUUAAGUUUGAAUUUAGUAUUGAAAA